UUACUGGUCGAAUGGUUCGAGCGUCCGCCUCGGAUGCGGAAGGUCGCGGGUUCGAACCCUGACAGAGUCAUAUAAG